rnacentral:rRNA from 1 species
CCUACGGGGGGCAGCAGUGGGGAAUAUUGCACAAUGGGGGAAACCCUGAUGCAGCGACGCCGCGUGAGUGAAGAAGUAUUUCGGUACGUAAAGCUCUAUCAGCAGGGAAGAAAAUGACGGUACCUGACUAAGAAGCCCCGGCUAACUACGUGCCAGCAGCCGCGGUAAUACGUAGGGGGCAAGCGUUAUCCGGAUUUACGGGGUGUAAAGGGAGCGUAGACGGCAGCGCAAGUCUGGAGUGAAAUCCCAUGGCUUAACCAUGGAACUGCUUUGGAAACUGUGCAGCUAGAGUGCAGGAGAGGUAAGCGGAAUUCCUAGUGUAGCGGUGAAAUGCGUAGAUAUUAGGAGGAACACCAGUGGCGAAGGCGGCUUACUGGACUGUAACUGACGUUGAGGCUCGAAAGCGUGGGGAGCAAACAGGAUUAGAUACCCCAGUAGUC